rnacentral:lncRNA from 1 species
CUAUACUGUAACAGGGUCACCCACUCACUGUGGUCACCUGCUCCCCAACCUUCACAGCUACACAAUACCCUUCUAACCCUGCUUCUUUCCCUCCACAGCUGGGAGGACAUGAACCCGCCUUCUCCACAGCCUGAACUUCCAUAGUCAUAGCUUCCAAACUGGCACAAGGGGGUCUUAUAUGAAAGAGUGAGCAAAAUCAAGAAGCACAGUCUUGCAUUUAUUAUACAUCUUAACAUGGUUUGGAAAGCCUGAUGUACUCGAACAGAUGGAUAUUGGUGACUUUAAAGAUAAAAUUUUAAUGAGAACAUGUCUGUUGCUGUAUAGAAAAACUAUCCCCACAUUUAUGGGUAUAAAAGAGAGGAGGUCCUGGUGUACCUUGAAGCAUGGGAACCCUAAGAGGAAACUGGUGGAAGAGGCUGCAUGCAGAGGCUGGAGGAAGGAAGAGACCCAUUUGAGAAACACAAGAUGAGGCUGGCCCAUCUGCAAGGAUAGGACAGUCUAAAAAUCUGCAGAUCUCUUUCAAAAGAUUACCAUCAUGAAGAGUAAUAGCAAUAGAAAAUGAUCAGCAAGCAACAAACAGCAAGAGCCAAUCACCAUUUAUGCCUUUGAGAAUCCGAAAUGCAUAAA